rnacentral:rRNA from 1 species
UACGUAGGGUGCAAGCGUUGUCCGGAAUUAUUGGGCGUAAAGAGCUCGUAGGCGGUCUGUCACGUCGGACGUGAAAAUCCAGGGCUCAACCCUGGACCUGCGUUCGAUACGGGCAGACUAGAGUUCGGUAGGGGAGACUGGAAUUCCAGGUGUAGCGGUGAAAUGCGUAGAUAUCUGGAGGAACACCGGUGGCGAAGGCGGCAUCCUGGACCGACACUGACACUGAGGAGCGAAAGCCAGGGGAGCAAACGGG